rnacentral:rRNA from 1 species
GUUUAUGGCUGGGCUACCUUGAACAAGCCCGAUCCUAUCUGAUCUCGGAAGCUAAGCAGGGUCAGGCCUGGUUAGUACUUGGAUGGGAGACCACCUAGAAAGACCAGAUGCUGUAGGCA